CUUUUUCCCUACCCCACGGACAACAGCUGCACCCACGCAGAGGUGAAAACUCUAGAACUCCAUGUCUAACCUAACUCCCUUUCUGUGUCCUGUUGCUUGAGCCAUUCUUAUUAGGCCGCCUGUUCAGAGUUCAUCAUCUCCUAAUUUUUCAUCCAGGAAUUGGUGAAGUAUCACCUCCUGGCUCUCCCAUACACUGUUUAUUCUUUCAUUUGAUGAUAUCUGUUGAGUGCCGUGAGUAACUUCCACUUCCUUCCUAUAUAAGUGAGAUUUCACAUUGAUUACUCCCUUGGCUUUCCCUGUCCCUUGUCCACAUAGUAUGUGUUCAAAAUAAUGAAUGUUAAUUUAAUGUUAAUAGACAUGUGCUUUUCUGAAUUGUGAGGAUUAAAUGAAAUCCUGUAUAUAGGAAGGAAAAUCCAUUAGAAACCUCAAAAGCAGUCAUGUUCAUUUUUGCUAUUGUCACAUUGUUAGAGUCCGAAUUCUUUUAGCUAGCUGCAAGUGACAAAACCAACUCAAACUGGCUUAAGGACUUUAUUUAGUUGAUGCAAAAAGCCUCAAGUUAGGUCCUGCCAUUUAAGGUAGAUCUGGAUCUAUCAAUCAAGGUUACAGGAUCAGUUUCACAGUUGUGGCUUCCUUCUCAGACAAGUUGUUUACAUAUGAUAGCAUCGUAGAACGUACUACCAGCUUAGUCCUAGAAAGAAAAAAGAAUACGUACUCUUCAAUAUUUGCAGCAGAAGUCCCAGGUCUGUUCUUAUGAGGGCAGUUUAAGUCACUUGCUCUUCUCUGAACAUGGAGAAGAGACUAUUUAGAUGACCAAAGUUGGAUUCAGGUGCAUCCCCUGGAAUGGGGUUUGGCAUUAGCUUCACAUGGUCUAGAAUAAAGGGAUUCUCCAAAGGAAAAUUAGGGGAGGGAUGUCGAGCAAGUGGAACCAACAGAUGUCUCCUUUAGUCCUUUCCAAAGGGUGAGCUGCAAUGCACUGCAGACUAUCAGAAUGGUGAUGAAGACAGAUACAGUAGUCAAGACAAUAGAUGUGUGUUUGUCAUUAUUUUUUUCGGUCUUCAAGACCACAGCUAAACAUCACUAUGAUGUUAUUUGAGGUUUAGCUUUGAAGUGUAAAUGUACCUCAAACAGUAGAGCCAGAUAAAUAUAAAUAAAUAAUUGUAACAGUCUAUUCUAAAAGAUUUCUUUGGUAAUAUUCUGUUGGAAUUGAUUUCUAUCUCUUCAUUUGUUAGGUUCCUGGUAAGAUGAAAAUUUCAUUUCUUUGUGGAAAGUGGUUGAUUAUGGGGACAAACCAAGGUUUAGCCAAUUCAGCAAACAUUUAUGGAGUGCCUGCAAUGUACCCGACGCUGAUUUAGGACCUGUGCCCACUGUAAAGAUGACCCACACGAUGCCUGGCCUGCAGGACUUGGUGUUUAGCGAUAAGAAGAGAUGCAUACCUGAAAAGCCUAUUUAAGACUCUUCUAGUUCUACAAAGACAGCUUCUUGAAAAUGUUUUCUUAUCAGCAAAGUCAGAAAAUGUAUCUACCUGAUGGGCUGAUUAUAAGGCUGGGAUGAGAGAAUCCGUGCAAUCAGCCCUCACUGACAGAUGCUGCCCAGUUCAUGAGUGCUGCUGCUGUCCUCCUGCCCAGGUACCCAGCUCACAGGAGUGCCGGAGUUAGAGUCCCAAGGAUGUUCUCCACGGCUACAUGCUUGAUCCAGGCCUAUCAGGUGAGUACUCUCUUCCUGGCCCCCCUGUGGAGUGGGGAAAGGAGGCUCUGACAUUGUGCUUGUGCAAACAUAACUGAAAGUUUUCCGAGUCUCCUGCAUCUUCAUAGAUGAUUUUUUAUUUUAUGCUUGGACAGUAGUUCUUUAAAUAGAAUAUUCUCCCAUGGAAAACGUCCACAAUGCUGAGAGUACACCUUGCAAAAGGUAUGCUUUGCUUUGCAAAAUGUAUCAGCUUCAUUUUCACAUUAUGUUGGAAGCUUAACAUGAAAGAACAUGGCUGAAAGGAGACCACAGGUAAGCAUACUGUAACAAAAGUUAAUGCCAUCAUGUUUGUGUCUUUGCCUGUGGUUUUUUAAGUGUAUAAUGUUUAAUGUUGAUUUGGCCAUCAAAUUCAGUUUUCUUUUGUUAAAAAAAUUUCUGUAAAUGAGAAAUGUACUGAAUCCUUUAUUUAGCAGACCAAAGAUGGGUGAUGAUGGCUGAACAGGUUUAAACCACAGUAAUUUGAAAAUGAAAAUACCUAAAAUGAUGUCCUUUCUCUUCCACUCAGUGUUUCUUCACCAAAUGAAGUCCAGUUUGCUCCGAAUUUGUUGCCAAUAGGAGCAAUGUUAUCGUGAAUCAUGGUUUAAUAUACCUUGAAAAUGGCACAUCUAUUCUGUGAUAGCAUACCGGUUUUAGCCUCUUUGUAAAAUACGAAGAAGAGUUUGUCAACCAGAAUAACCUGGAACCUGGCAAUUCAAAUACUAUUCAAAGCAGAUGUUUUAUCUAGUAACUAGAACUAAAUGUUAGGUCUCAUGACAGUUCAACAUUUACUAAGCAAGUUUAAUAACAGAGUAAGCCCUCUGUAUCCAGAGCAGAGACCAGCACACCACAUUUACAUAUACAAAUUCUGCCUUUAGCCUUCUGAAAGGGCCCAGAACUAUUGCGGCAAGCAAAAGAGUCUUUGUAAUAUCCUAAAAUCCAUAUAGUACUCUAUAUUUUACACAUUUUAAUAGCUAGUCUAACAAAUAGCAAGUACCAUGCUUUAUUCUCUGCAUGUAUUAUUACAACUAAUCAUUGGGAUAAUCUUAUAAAGUAAGUACUUUUGUCUCGGCCUACAGGUGAGAAAACAAAAGUUAAAUAGAUCACCCAGGGCCUUGCUGGAACGUGUUGAGCAGGGAUUUCAGCCUGUUCCGUCAGACCCUGGAAGCUGUGUUCUUAACCAUUAGCAAUACAUCAUCCCAGGCAUGCCCUACGUGAUGAGCCUCAUAACCAGUUUUGUGAUGGAUAGUAUUAUCCCCAUUUCACAGAUGGCAAAACUGAAGUCCAGAGACUCUAAGUGACCUACUCAAAAUUACAGUCAUGAGCAGUGGCACUGAGAUGUAGGGUCUUGCUACUCUACCUCUCAUGGUCCUCUUUUCUGUUUUGUGUAGGUCUCCACUACCACUACUCGAUUCUCUUCUGCUGCUGGAAAGGAUGUAUUUUAUACAUUUCUGUUUCUAGCUUGGAACAAAACACUCUGUGGGUCUCUGCUUGAUCAGUGACCCCUCUAAACUGCGCCCCACUACAGCAGGAAUGGCAUAAGAUGCUUCAAUACACAGCAUCUUUUUGUUCCCACCUCACCCCCAGAGCUGUAAUAGGUAGGGCCAACCAAAUGUAAAAGAGAUGAUUUGUCUUGGUCACCCCUAGUUUCCCUUUUCUCGGCCUUGUAUUUAACAGGAAUAUUCUUUAGUUCCCCUUAUGUUCUAAAGCACCUCCCCACCCCAAAAAUAGCAAAAGAGCUGUGAGUCAUUUUCACUUUAGUGUGAAUGUGCCUUCCUGAUUUCGCCAAGGCUGUUUUGCCUAAUCCUUUUAAUCUAAUUUAGAUUAGAAUUUAAUAGCAGAAUGAGAGUCUCUGGAUAUCUUGGCUUCUUCCCUGAGAAUAAUGAACUGGGAAUUGUUGGUCUAGACAUCAAAAGUACCAGAGACCUAUUGCUCAGAGAUGUUUGGGCUGUACAAUUGCUGUAGAUUUGGCAUUUGAAGCUGCCUUUUUUGAGCAAUGGCCUUCUCAGCCCAGGCUCUCUCGCUCUUUCCAUCUCUCCGCUUGAACCAGGUGGACUCUGGCCCUCCACUCCUUCCAGCUUGUCAGUGAUACAGAGAACAUUCUCCAUCCUUCCAAUGAUUGCAUUCCUUCACCUUCGUGGGGCCCAAGUGCAGAUGGAGUGGCUCUUGGGAGCAGCCUGGGCUUAUAGUGCAGCUCUCUGCUACCUGCAACAGGCUGGUAUUCGGGGAGCUUGAAUGCACCACUGAUGGUUAUUGUAGGGAGAACUCCCUGACCUGGCCCACCCUGGCUCUUCUCUUCACUUGACUCCUAGAUCACAUGGU